rnacentral:rRNA from 1 species
CCACAAUGGACGAAAGUCUGAUGGAGCGACGCCGCGUGCGGGAUGAAGGCCUUAUGGGUUGUAAACCGCUGUCAGGGGGGAAGAACAUCGGAAUGAACAAUACUCAUUCCGACUGACGUUACCCCCAGAGGAAGCUCCGGCCAACUCCGUGCCAGCAGCCGCGGUAAUACGGGGGAGCAAGCGUUGUCCGGAAUUAUUGGGCGUAAAGGGCGUGUAGGCGGCGAGGUAAGUCGAAUGUGAAAUCUCACGGCUCAACCGUGAAACUGCGUUCGAAAACUCCCUGCUUGAGUACGGGAGAGGUGUACGGGAUUCCUGGUGUAGCGGUGGAAUGCGUAGAUAUCG